GGGAACCGUCGGACAGUUCAUGAGGUUUUGGCCCUCUCAAAAGCCAAUUCCCCGAGGCUUGUGUUUUUGUCUGAGACAAGGCAGGCCUCUACAAAGAUGGAGAGAUUAAAAUGGAGGUUACACUUGACGGGUUUUGCGGGUGUUUCGAGUGAUGGUCUCAGUGGAGGACUCAUGCGCUAUUGGGAUGAGAAGCUUAACGUGACUGUGUUGGAUUCAUGUGCACGGUACAUUGAUGUGCGAGUGGAGGACAUGGCGAGUGAAAAGAUUUGGAGGACAACCUUUGUAUAUGGCGAACCUCGGGUGGAGAACUGACACCGCAUG
rnacentral:rRNA from 1 species